AGCCGAAGACCGCUGUGCCGCACCGCGCGCGCAGCCCUUCCCGAGCCCGAGUCGAUCUGUGCCCCUGUUCGACCCCGUGACCUUUCAGGUCACCGCACGCGAGCCAACCUCCGCGAGGAUCCCCGCAGCCCUUUUUCCCCGUCUCCUGUUGCUGCACGCGUGAGCUAGGGCGAAGCCGAUCUCGUGAGGAGCUCCGCAGUCCGCCGCCUUCGUCGGACGACCUCGCCGCCAGAGCCACCGGAGCGAGGAACUCAAGCUCGUCCGCCGCCGCCGGAGCACACCGCGUUCUCGUCGUCGCCGUCGCCCGCAGAGCACGCCCCGUCGUCGUUUGACCUCACCACCGCGUCCGCAACUCGAAGCCGCCUCCGCCCGUCACCUCACCUUCGCCGGAGCACCGCCGGAGAAGCGCCGCCGGCGACGCCCGAGACCGCCGCCGUUUUCCUCUGUCUUCGGAUUGUCCGGAGUGCGACGCGAGCUAUUGUCAGGAGUGUGACUUUUUGAACCAGAACCAAGGCAAGUUACAUGUUGAUCAUCCUUUACCUAUUGUUUUCUAUGCAUGUAGUUAUAUCACACUAUGAAUAUAUGCAUGGAUAAGAAUACUAUUUUAUUUUGAGCUAUCUUCCCGCCAUUGCAGAUCGUGGUAGGUGUAGUUGCUAUGCUUUGUAGACAGGGGUGGUUCGUGUAUUCAUUGAGCU